rnacentral:misc_RNA from 1 species
GAUGAAGAACGCAGCGAAAUGCGAUAAGUAAUGUGAAUUGCAGAAUUCAGUGAAUCAUCGAAUCUUUGAACGCACAUUGCGCCCAUUAGCAUUCUAGUGGGCAUGCCUGUUCGAGCGUCAUUUCAACCCUUAAGCCCUGUUGCUUAGCGUUGGGAGCCUACAGUACUGUAGCUCCCCAAAGUUAGUGGCGGAGUCGGUUUCACACUCUAGACGUAGUAAUUUUUUCUCGUCUGUAGUUGAGCCGGUCCCCUGCCGUAAAACACCCAAUUUAUCAAGGUUGACCUCGGAUCAGGUAGGAAUACCCGCUGAACUUAAGCAUAUCAAUAAGCGGAGUA